UGGCUGCAGCCCCAGCAUACCUGGGCAUGGGCCCUCGAGACGGACCAGGAAACUAAGGCUCAGAGAGAGGCCGUGUGUCCAAGUGGCUGCCUCUGCCAAGGAGAGAAUCUGGGACUCAGACACAGGUCCACCAACCCCAGAGUCCACACUGGUCAGCUCCAGCCUGCCAGAGACAGGAGAGGGCCCUCGCUCCAGCCUGGCUCUGCCCCAACCUGCUGGCAGCACUUGUAUCCGGUCAGGAGGUGUGUGUGGUGUGCAAGAACGGAAGAGGAGGCAGCACAAAGCUCAGUAAGGCUCAGCUCUGGCACUGCCCCUUCCCGGAGGCCUUCCUGACCACCAUUAGUGGCCGGGCCUUGCCUGGGAGGGCCCAAACCCUGGCAUCACUCAGCACAGGGCUGAGCACAGAGGGGACGAGAAUCAGAGCGAAGUGAACAUUGGACAGGAGGUAACCCCCAGACACCUCAACCUACUCCCAGCAUGCCUCUGUCCAUCCCCCCGAAGAGACAGGUCUGGUAAGCCCUGCAGGUAAGGAACGCCAUGCUGGGACAAAGGAACCUUAUCUUGGGGGCACUGGGGAGCCAUCGCUGUUUGGGGACUGAGGAGUUGUAUGCCCGGAGCUGAGAGCUGAACAGACUGCCCUGAAGCCAGAAAACAGCCAGACAGGCCUGGGCUGAGACCUAGAAGGCAGGCCCUCCUGUGGUUUAUCCAGAACGUCUGCCUACAGAACUAAAGAAGGAUCCAUCCAAGCAAAGACUGGCCUGGGGUGUCCCCUGCAGUACAGUUUAUAAGAACAGAACAACCUGGAUGACCCAGUAGAUAAACCAAGGAACUCGACUGCUGCCUGGCUAUAGAUACAGGAACAAAGCAAGUUACAACCUGCUGUGAGCUAAUGGACCCUAUUCUCUAUAAAAGUAUACAUUAGCGGUUGCCUGGGCUGGGUGUGGAAGGCUGGGUGUGGACCAGGGAGCAGUUGUAAAUAGAGGGGAUGAAAAUGUUCCACAACUAACUGGUGAUGGUCAACACAACUUGGUCAACGUAAAAACUUAUUGUACACUUAAAAUGGGUAAAUCUUACGACAGGUAAA